rnacentral:lncRNA from 1 species
GCUGGGGCCAACAGAGACGUGUUUAUCUUGUCCAUUGUCCUAUUUCCAACAAAAACAAACUCAGUCCACCCCAAAGAGCAGAGACCCUCUUCUGUCCCCGGAGCCCUACCGGGCACCACACACUAGGCCCGUCAUCAUCUUUAGAAUGGGAAGUGCAGCAAAAAUUAAGGCAUUUCCCAGGACAGAAUGCAGAGCUCUCUCCUCUAUCAAGAUAGAUGAUUUCUCAGUGUCCUUUUACUGCUCAUGAGCCUAACAUUCCUGUAAAAGAGAGUAUUCCUGAAGAACGGAGCAGUGCCAGGGUAACUCUGACCUGGAUCUGUAGGGUGGGCCAUUUCAGUGAAGAAAGGCUGCCAGAUGCAGAUAAAAACCAGAAGUGUGAGGAACUAAAUGGAAGCAGAAAGCUGGCCAACUUCUUUCCAUCCCAUCUGGCAGACCCUGCAGUAACACACACUGACACACCUGGCCACAAGGGAAACAGCUAUACUCUGUACAAGUUUGCUUUUGGCUUCCUAUGUCUUGAGAGUUGGAAUGUGGCUGAAAGACACCCAAUGGUCUGAGCAGAAAUGGAAGGGCGGUGCAACUGAAGUGCUUGAGGCUGUUCACGACAAUUUAAUAUAUCCUAACCAAUAACCAGAAAGUUGGGGCCCGGCAGCCUAUAGAACCUCGAGAGACCCUGGGGAGAAUUGGUCAGUUCCUGGGGACCCAACAUAAGGGGGAACUUUUUUUUCCAAACAAGGACUACAUCUUGGAGUUGCAGAUGCUCAUAAAGGGGAUCAUAAGGGAGAUGGCCAGCCCUUCAUCAAAAUCCCUCCUCUCCUACCGUGUCCAGCAGCCAACGGGAAACUGCAGAUUGGACAAGCCUUCUGUUUCCCAGCCUCUCAGCCUCCACCCCAGAAAAUGGGCCAGGACUUGUGAGAGAACAAGGUAUGGGCCAUUGGAGAAGAACCCCAUCUCCUCGGGCACCUAGCUGGCUCAGUCAGUUGAGCAUCCGACUCUUCAUUUUGGCUCAAGUCAUGAUCUUGGAUCAUGGGAUCCCCGCUUAGGCUCAGUGUGGAGUCUGCUUGACAUUCUCUCUCUCCCUCUCCCUCUGUCCUCUGCCUGCUCUCAUGCUCUCUCCCAUACUCUGUCUCUCUAAAAUAAAUAAAUAGAUAAAAUCUUAGGGGAAAAAAAAGAAAAGUGCUUUGCAUCCUUCAUGUUCUCCACUUUCUGCCAGCUGGACGCAGCAGGCAAUGCUGAGAUUCUACAGAAAUGGCCCAGCUGGGGCUCAAGUCCGUGCAUGCAGGAGAACUGCCCACAGCCCGGAGGUACUGUGUGGGAAGAUUCACUGCUACUGUGUCUGAACCAUGGGGCCCCUGGGUUCUAUUUCCUACAACGUGAUUUUAACCAACACACUAAAAUACACAGUUCUAACUGAUGCAGUAAAAAUGUGUAACAUUUAUGCUAAUGGCAUGCCAGGUGUUGUUUUAAGUGUUUUAUUUGCAUUAUUACAUUGAAAUUUCAGAACAACUCCACGCAGCCUCGCCAAUUUUAUAGAUGGGGGAAACUGAGAAACAGCGAGGUUAUGUAACUUGUCCUAGGUCACAGGGCUCUAAGUGACCAAUGUGACUCAAGAGCCCACACUUUAAAUCUUAACACUAUAAUAAACAUUGGUUCAUAUUUACAGGUCAGUAUCUAACAAGAAUAAUACAGGGGUGCCCAGGUGCCUCAGUUGGUUAAAUAUCCAACUCUUGCUUUAGCCUCAGGUCAUUAUCUCAGGGUCUUGAGAUGGAGCCCCAUGUCAGACUUUGCCCUGGGUGUGGAGUCUGCUUGGGAUUCUUUCUAUUUCUCUCUCCCUCUGCCCUGCCCCCCACCUCAAAACAAAACAAAACAAAAAAAGUAGUACAUAGAUCAUAAAAAAUAGGAGAGUGCAGGAUGAAUGAUGAUCUUUUAAGCCUCUGGCUGCAUUUUGUCAUUGUUUCACUGAACCCUACAGCACUCCUGCGAGGCAGGCACUGUUAUCAUUCACAUGUUAGGUGACAUCAUCAAGGCUCGGGGA